UUUACCUUUUUUAAAGUGUGAUUGUGAUGGAGAACUCUGACUGUGAAAAAAGUGAUGAAGGUGAUUAUCUUCAAGUGAAACAAACGAAAGUGUUUUUGGCAAUUUAAAAAAAGCCCUCUUGGGAUUGGCGAUGGAUUGAGUGAAUCAGCAAGAAAACGUCGGACAUUAGCAUUUAAAAAAGAGGCUGAAAAGUUCUGCGAGAAGUUCAAGCUAGAAAUACUGCUUGGAAUUCAUUCCCCUACAGCUGUUAGAAAAAGCUGGCAUUUUGAUGGCUAUGGAUGAAGCAAUUUGCUAAUGAGACUGAUAUUGGAAAGAAGAUCAAGACCGACUUACAACUAUUAUCAACAGUUGGUUGGUAGAUGACAAGAUAAACUUGCAAGAAGCGGUUACUGCAUCCAGUGACAUUACUGGACCGUUUAUCAGCGCUGUAGGAGAGGAAGCAAUAAUUGUUGCUCAGCAGUGUGGUGCCAGUAGGCAACAAGAGUUGGAAGCAUCAAAGAAAAAAAAGGAGGAGAACCGAAUCAAAAGGAUGGGCCAUGCUUAUGGUCGCAAAAAAAUAAGUCAAAAGACAACAAACUCAAGUUCAGGAUCUUUCGCCGUAUCCCCUUCACCUUCGAAAUCUAUUUCUUCUGGCAGCAGCUUGGUGGCGACAAGCACUUCUCCCUUUAAAGCUUCCCUGUGCAACACCAUUGAAGACACACAAGGUGUAAAACGGAAGAUAUUUGAUCGAACGGAAUCUGACAUCCAGGAUGUGGUAGUAAUCUCCGACCUUGACGAAGCUUAUUCUGAGGUCUCAAAUGAGUUACCGCCAACUCCUCCACCUAGUAGAUUAUCUUCCCUACUGGCAGCUCCGACUGUCGCUAUUGGAAAGCGCACUGUAACUGCCCCAGAUCCAGCGACUGGCAGGAAGACUUUCUCGGCGUCCUCGGAUGAAAAUGUCGCUGCGUCAGCUGCCCUGACACCUCCGGCUUUCGCCGUUAGAAUGAGGACAGCAACUGCAAGUGGCUUAGUUCCUGAUGCCUAGCAGGAAGACUAUCACGUCGUCUUCGGAUGACGUCGCUAUCUCGGCUCCCCUGACAGCUCAUAAAGAAAAAAAUCCCCGUUUGUUUUAUAAUUGUAAUGAUUUUGUUUGUACAGCAUUGUAUUAUGGCUACUUCUUCUCUCAAUUUCCUAAGAAAAUAAAGAAUUCGGAAUAAA